GGAGAACUCUGUUUCCCUGGCCAUCACCAUCCUCGUGAAGGCCCUGGAGCCUUGACGAUGGCGCCGUCUCUCUCCCCACAUCCUCACCAUCCUCCGAACUCCGUUUUUGGAACCUCACCAUCCUGGUGAAAGCGGCUGAUUGCCUCGCCUCUCUCUCUCUCUCUCUCUCUCUCUCUCUCUCUCUCUCUAUUCACUCUGCCCCCCUUCCUCCCGACGAUGGCUCCUCGAAGGAGGGCCUCUUCGGACAAAGCUGAAUCUCUUUAGAUAUUCUUCAACAGUCCCAGAGGUUCGGCUAUCCACAGUAGGUCUCCCCGCCCACAUGGAGGCCUCCGCCGCGGCGGCGGCGGGGCGCCUCGCCCUCCUGGGCUGCUCCGCCGCGGGCCGCCUUCUUCGCCGCCGCCGCUUCACCUCCGCCGCCGCCCGUGGUGUGCCGCCCCGCCUGCCCCCUGUUCUCAUCCCUCUCCUUCAAACCUCGUUGGAUCGGCGGCGCCGCCGCGGCCAAAGCCAACAGCCUCGCGUCUUCCUCCUCCCUCAAUGCGGAAGGCUUCUUCCACGCGUGGGAACUCCCGCCCGGAGAGGGCGUCGGCCGGCCUCGCAGCGGCGCCGCCUUCGACGAAGGGGCAGUGUGGACGGCGGUGCUGCUGGGCUGGCUGGGCGCGGAGCACAAGCACCUGAGGAGGUACGCGGAGAUGUACAGGGAAAGGGGGAUCCGCACGGUGUCCUUCGUGGUUCCCGUGGGGGAGCUGGUCCUCGACCUCGGGAAGGGCAUGGAGGGGAGGAUCGCCCGGCUGGCCGCCGAGUUGGCGGAGUGGGCGGAGGGCGGGGAGGCGGAUGGCCGCGGGAGGAGGCUCCUCUUCCACACCUUCAGCAACACCGGCUGGUUCACGUAC
rnacentral:lncRNA from 1 species